CCGCUGAACUUAAGCAUAUCAAUAAGCGGAGGAAAAGAAACCAACAGGGAUUACCUCAGUAACGGCGAGUGAAGCGGUAACAGCUCAAAUUUGAAAUCUGGGUCUUUCAGGCUCCGAGUUGUAAUUUGUAGAAGAUGCUUCGGGUGCGGCUCCGGUCUAAGUUCCUUGGAACAGGACGUCAUAGAGGGUGAGAAUCCCGUAUGUGAUCGGUUGCUUGCGCCCAUGUGAAGCUCUUUCGACGAGUCGAGUUGUUUGGGAAUGCAGCUCAAAAUGGGUGGUAAAUUUCAUCUAAAGCUAAAUAUUGGCCAGAGACCGAUAGCGCACAAGUAGAGUGAUCGAAAGAUGAAAAGCACUUUGGAAAGAGAGUUAAACAGUACGUGAAAUUGUUGAAAGGGAAGCGCUUGCAACCAGACUUGCGCGUUGCCGAUCAUCCGGGGUUCUCCCCGGUGCACUCGGCCUCGCUCAGGCCAGCAUCGGUUUCGGUGGUGGGAUAAAGGCCUUGGGAAUGUAGCUCCUCUCGGGGAGUGUUAUAGCCCUCGGUGCAAUGCCGCCUACCGGGACCGAGGACCGCGCUUCGGCUAGGAUGCUGGCGUAAUGGUUGUAAGCGACCCGUCUUGAAACACGGACCAAGGAGUCUAACAUCUAUGCGAGUGUUUGGGUGUCAAACCCAUACGCGUAAUGAAAGUGAACGGAGGUGAGAACCCUUAAGGGUGCAUCAUCGACCGAUCCUGAUGUCUUCGGAUGGAUUUGAGUAAGAGCAUAGCUGUUGGGACCCGAAAGAUGGUGAACUAUGCCUGAAUAGGGUGAAGCCAGAGGAAACUCUGGUGGAGGCUCGCAGCGGUUCUGACGUGCAAAUCGAUCGUCAAAUUUGGGUAUAGGGGCGAAAGACUAAUCGAACCAUCUAGUAGCUGGUUCCUGCCGA
rnacentral:rRNA from 1 species